rnacentral:misc_RNA from 1 species
UUUCCGUAGGUGAACCUGCGGAAGGAUCAUUAAAGAGUAAGGGUCUUCGGGCCCGAUCUCCAACCCUUUGUUUAACUACCAUGUUGCUUUGGCGGGCCCGUCUCACGACCGCCGGAAGUUUGGCUUCGACCAAACUUCUGGCCCGUGCCCGUCAGUGGCCCCUUCAAAUUCUUGAUCAAGUAUGAUGUCUUAGUUAAAAACUUAAUAGUUUAAACUUUCAACAACGGAUCUCUUGGUUCUG